rnacentral:tRNA from 1 species
AAGAAAGUGACAGAGUGGUUAUGUGACUGGCUUGAGACCAGUACAUGAGGAUUCAAUUCCUUCCUCUCUCG